AACAAUUCUCUACAAGACUGAACCAGACAGUAAAUUGCUUGCUGAGCCAGAAGGGAAGAAAAGGGAGAGAAAAAGGAUUUGCUGACCUUGAAGAGAGAAAUACUUGAGGUUUAUAUGACAAAGAUUAUAGAGAUUUUUUUAUACAUUGGCUAGCUGCAGUUUCAGUCCAAGAUACGUAGCACAAUUUAAUGCUCGCAAGUUGCAGAGUACUUUGAUAUCCA